GAAACAAUCGGUCCAUUUUCGUCCUCUAGGGUUUGCUAGGGUUUCUCUUUCCGCCUCGCCGCCGGCAGCCGCUUCCAGAUCCGCCACAAUGACUGCUCAAACCCAGGAGGAGCUCCUCGCCGCCGCUCUUGAGCAGCAGAAGAUCGAUCCGGAUGAGCCCGUGGUUGAAGACGAGGAUGACGAUGAUGAGGAUGACGAAGAAGAUGACGACAAAGAUGAGGAUGAUGCAGAAGGAGGUGAUGGCAGUGGAAGGUCAAAGCAGAGCAGAAGUGAGAAGAAGAGUCGGAAGGCCAUGUUGAAACUUGGAAUGAAACCCAUACUCGGUGUCAGCCGUGUCACAGUAAAGAAGAGCAAAAAUAUACUGUUUGUCAUUUCGAAACCGGAUGUUUUCAAGAGCCCGAAUUCAGACACAUAUGUUGUCUUUGGUGAGGCUAAGAUAGAAGAUCUGAGCUCUCAGCUGCAGACGCAGGCUGCGGAGCAGUUCAAGGCCCCUGAUCUGAGUCAUGUGAUCUCGAAGCCUGAUGCUUCAGCCUCAGCACAGGAUGAUGAAGAUGUUGAUGAGGCUGGGGUUGAGCCUAAGGAUAUUGAGCUGGUGAUGACCCAAGCUGGAGUUUCUAGGCCGAAGGCUGUCAAGGCGCUUAAAGCUGCGGACGGUGAUAUUGUUACUGCUAUCAUGGAGUUGACCAACUGAUGACUUUUCUGAAAGAUGUCAGCUUCAUCUUCUUAGCCUCUUUUCUUUGCUUUGGUUUGGUUACAAGGAUAGUGUGGGCUGAACCCUGUUGUUUUGCAGCUUUGUUUUAGAUCUAUUUCAGACCUGGCUGAGUUGUAUAAGUUGAGAUUGGU
rnacentral:misc_RNA from 1 species